AUUUGCAGUUGAGCCUGAAAGCAGCGGGCUCGAUGGACGAGGCUAUUUCUGCCUGGUAGGCUGUGUUUCCAUGAGUCUCGGUUUCUUGCUCUCCGUAGUCACAAUCCUGGCUCUCGUCACGGGCGGUCUGUCAAACCCUGCCGCAACAACGGUCCUAGAUGAAGAGGGCGGCGGUGGGUCAUCAUCCUCAUCUUUCCCAUCAUUCCCAGUCGCAACCCGUGCAAACGUUCAAGUCUCUGUACAGCGCACGGUGCCUGCACUCAGCACUGUGGGGAUGCCUGCAGCUGAGCCGAUGAUACCAACUAUGGCCACUAUGCCGAAAGUGCCGACAGUGACCCAUGUGCCUCCGACGA